rnacentral:rRNA from 1 species
UACGGGGGGGGCAAGCGUUGUUCGGAAUUACUGGGCGUAAAGAGCGCGCAGGCGGUCGUUCAAGUCGCGUGUGAAAGCCCCCGGCUCAACUGGGGAGGGUCACGCGAUACUGAUCGACUCGAAGGCAGGAGAGGGAAGUGGAAUUCCCGGUGUAGUGGUGAAAUGCGUAGAUAUCGGGAGGAACACCAGUGGCGAAGGCGACUUCCUGGCCUGUUCUUGACGCUGAGGCGCGAAAGCUAGGGGAGCAAACGGG